UACGUAGGUGGCAAGCGUUGUCCGGAUUUAUUGGGCGUAAAGAGCGCGCAGGCGGUUUGUUAAGUCCGAGGUGAAAUCUCCUGGCUCAACUGGGAGGGGUCUUCGGAUACUGGCCGACUUGAGGAGAGCAGAGGUGAGUGGAAUUCUCGGUGUAGUGGUGAAAUGCGUAGAUAUCGAGAGGAACACCAGCGGCGAAGGCGGCUCACUGGGCUCCACCUGACGCUGAGGCGCGAAAGCGUGGGGAGCGAACCGG
rnacentral:rRNA from 1 species